rnacentral:rRNA from 1 species
UACGUAGGUGGCGAGCGUUGUCCGGAUUUACUGGGCGUAAAGAGCGCGCAGGCGGUCGAUCAAGUCGGAUGUGAAAGCCCCCGGCUCAACUGGGGAGGGUCAUUCGAUACUGGUCGACUCGAAGGCAGGAGAGGGAAGCGGAAUUCCCGGUGUAGUGGUGAAAUGCGUAGAUAUCAGGAAGAACACCCGUGGCUAAGGCGGUUCUCUAGUACGGUACUGACGCUGAGACGCGAAAGCGUGGGGAGCGAACAGG